rnacentral:rRNA from 1 species
UUUGAUCCUGGCUCAGGACGAACGCUGGCGGCCCGCCUAACACAUGCAAGUCGAACGAGAGAUGAGGAGCUUGCUCUUCAAAUCGAGUGGCGAACGGGUGAGUAACGCGUGAGGAACCUGCCUCAAAGAGGGGGACAACAGUUGGAAACGACUGCUAAUACCGCAUAAGCCCACGGCUCGGCAUCGAGCAGAGGGAAAAGGAGCAAUCCGCUUUGAGAUGGCCUCGCGUCCGAUUAGCUAGUUGGUGAGGUAACGGCCCACCAAGGCGACGAUCGGUAGCCGGACUGAGAGGUUGAACGGCCACAUUGGGACUGAGACACGGCCCAGACUCCUACGGGAGGCAGCAGUGGGGAAUAUUGCACAAUGGGGGAAACCCUGAUGCAGCGACGCCGCGUGGAGGAAGAAGGUCUUCGGAUUGUAAACUCCUGUUGUUGAGGAAGAUAAUGACGGUACUCAACAAGGAAGUGACGGCUAACUACGUGCCAGCAGCCGCGGUAAAACGUAGGUCACAAGCGUUGUCCGGAAUUACUGGGUGUAAAGGGAGCGCAGGCGGGAGAACAAGUUGGAAGUGAAAUCCAUGGGCUCAACCCAUGAACUGCUUUCAAAACUGUUUUUCUUGAGUAGUGCAGAGGUAGGCGGAAUUCCCGGUGUAGCGGUGGAAUGCGUAGAUAUCGGGAGGAACACCAGUGGCGAAGGCGGCCUACUGGGCACCAACUGACGCUGAGGCUCGAAAGUGUGGGUAGCAAACAGGAUUAGAUACCCUGGUAGUCCACACCGUAAACGAUGAUUACUAGGUGUUGGAGGAUUGACCCCUUCAGUGCCGCAGUUAACACAAUAAGUAAUCCACCUGGGGAGCCCGAC